CUUGUAAAAGCUGCUAAAAUCUUCAGUAGCGUCCAUUUUGUGGAGAGAGGAUCAAAACAACAUUUGGAGAGAAAACAGAGAGAAUUACUGAAGUUAUAGUUACCAGAAUUUACUGACUGACUUAAGGAUUAAAGGCAUUUUAGAGGUGAAGAGGGCAAAAAACCUAAUAGAGCAACUUCGGGAUUUGUAGACUUUACUGUCAGCGUGUGAUUUCAGGAUUCAGACCUCCAAAAUGAGUCUCUCUGAGGAACAGGACACACAGGAAGCUGAGAGGCUGAAUCAGGGUAAGAGAUCAGACCCACCUGAACCCAGCUGUGUGUCCAUGAAGAGAAACUGGUCGAAGGGUGAAUUAAUGCACUUCAGAGGUGAUGCCAGUUCUACUGAGUUCAGUUCUAAAUGCAGCUACAUGAGGGCACAGAGACUCCUCUGAACUCCUGACCUGCUUACUGUGGAGCAGUUGUGGGGAAAUCUGGAAGUGCGAGCCGGUUCUCGACGACCAGACGUUCUCCUCAGCUCAUUUAUCAGUCAAUGAUUUUAACUUUCUGUACUUUUUGUAGUUUCAUGGCCAAAGUUAACCCAUAGUUUCAUUGUUUUGGUGCAAUGGAUAUAUUUUAAUAACAACUAUUUAUAAGUAGUGUUGAUGUCUGAAUUAUUUAUAGUGUAAAUAGUAAGUUGUAGUUCUACUGUAAUGUUCGUAUUUACUUGUUUGAUAUAUUACACUGAUUAUUUUAAAUCUUGGCUGAAGCGGAACAUUUAACCCUUUAAUGUUCUGCUCAACCAUUUGGUAGAGCACAUUUUGAGUCACUAUAUGUGCCACAAAGUGCCAUCUCAACCGUUUGGUAGACAUGAAUAUUUUUAAAAUUGUGGGGUCAAAAAAACGAAAAAAAGCACCAACUGUUUUUAUUAUUGCCCCAAACAAAUAAAAAAUACAAAAUAUGAAAGUCCAUUGCUUUUUUCUUGGUGAGGACAUUAAAGGGUUAAGUUAAACACUGCCAGCUUUCACUUUCAGCUGUGUACAAAUCAGUUCCAGAGAAAAUAACAUUGUUAUUGCUUGUAAGUGGUGUUUUUUCUGUACCUCAACCAAAUGACAACUUAGCUUAAAUGUGUAGCUUCAUACUGCUUUCAAGAGGUUUAUUUCAAAGUUUAUUGCUUUGUUUUAUUUUACAUGAAGACAAAUAUGUGAAUAGGUUUUAUGUGUAUUAAUGUCUGUGUGUCAUA